rnacentral:rRNA from 1 species
AAUUUAGAGAACAUGAUGUUGGUUCAGAUCAAAUGCUAUGUAGAGGCAUAACACAUGCAAGUUAUUCUUAGAAUAGCGUUCAGGUGAGUGAUAUAAGAUAAAUUUAAUCUCCAGCCCCAGCAUAGCUGGGGCUUAUCUUAUUCAGAUGUAGGUAUUAGAUAUAUAAUCUAGCCAUGGAACUGGAGCCGACGAUAAAAGUCACAACGGCCACAUUGAUAAAUUAUCAACUCUUAUAUAGAGCAGCAGUGGGGAAUCUUUGACAAUGGUCUAACGACUGAUCAAGUUAUCUACGAGAAGGAAAUUAAAAAUAUAAAAAGAAUAAUAAAAGAUUAACUAUAAACUUCUAAAUAAUAGUAAUAAUGAUACUAAUUAUGAAAGAGUCCUAACUAAAAUAUGUGCCAGCAGCUGCGGUUAGACAUAGAGGGCAAGCAUUGAUCAGAAUGGCUUAAAGGAUCUGUAGAACGAAUAUUUAAAAUAAAUAAAUAGAAUAAUCAAGAGGUAAUAAGAAUUAAAGUUAGAGGGAUAAAAUACGACGAAAACAUUAAGACUACAAAGAGAUUACUAAAGAUUAUUGACGUUGUGAGAUGAAGGCUACGGUAGCGACAUGGAUUCGAUACCCAUUUAGUCGUAGCAGUAAACUAUGAGUACAAUAAAGGAAAAGUGAAAAUGAAUAGUACUCCGCCUGACUAGUACGCUCGCAAGGGUGAAAUACAAGACAUUAGACGGUUGUAGUCCCAAGCAGUGGAACAUGUCAUUUAAUUGGAUGAUCCUCCAAGAACCUUACCAUCUCUUGAAUUAUUAACAGGCGUUACAUCGUUGUCGUCAGUUCAUGCCGUGAGGUUUAAUAUUAAGUUAUUGAAUGAACGUAACCCUUUUCUUUAUAGAUACGUAUAAUUGUAAAAUUAUAGGAAGUAGAGGUAGAAGACUAAUCAUGAUGACCCUAAUGAGAUGGGCUAUCGACGUGUUACAAUAUUAAUAACAAUUUAAUUAAUUAUAUUUAUUAGUUAAUUCUAAUAAUUUAUAUUAUAAUUAAUAUAUACUACUUAGUAGUUAUUAAAUAUUAAGAAUAAGACAUAGUUUCAAUUAUGGAUUGUAAUCUGAAAUUCGGUUACAUAAAGGAGGAAUUGCUAGUAAUCGUAAACAAGAGUGUUACGGUGAAAUUUUUUGCUACUUCGUACUAACCACUCAUCAACAGCAAGAAAUCUUAAUUUACCUUAUUGAGGAUUUAUUAAAAGGACUUGCUGUAAGUUGAAAUACGGUUCGGUUAGGGGAACCUGAUCGGGAUUUAUAUAUUUA